UAAGCUCCUAGAGGUGUGGGUGUGCAUCAGUAGAUGGCAGAGAAGAAGGAGGCUAUGUCUACACUCGGUAUUCUGACUUAUGACCAGAUAAACGAUUAGUAGUCUAACAUU
rnacentral:snoRNA from 1 species